AGAAAUGAAUGUCACACCACUCACCAAUAUAUUUCGUGAUCCACAAACAAAUGUAAUAACAUUCGCAAAUAUAAUUCAUACAUUUCAUGAUCCACAAACAAAUGUAACAACAUUCACAAAUAUAAUUCAUGAUGCACAAAUGAAUGUAACCCCAUUCACAAAUGCCAGCGCAGUUCUAUUCAUUUGCAAACCGGUCUACAUAUAUUCGCAAACCCUAUACAUAUUUAUGACUUCCAUUGUAUUUGUGUGUGGAUUUUUGAGACUGUCCUGACGGUAUUUGACACACAAAUGUGCUCAGCCAAUCACAUCAGCCGGCGUUCGAGCGUAAGGUUGAAGACAUUGCGCUUCUAUUACGCAGAGAAGGUUACUAGUGCGAAGCCACCAUAGAUCUGUAUAGAACUACACCGAUCCGAGGAAAUAACCGGAAGUAGAGUCAUUACUGAAGUGCUCCAUGACGUAAACUCGGAAGCGUAUGAAGUUACUGACUUUCACAUCAUCUUUGUACAAAUAUGUCUGGAUCUGGACUAACGUGUGCUGUAAUCGGAUGUCACAAUAACAGCAGAAAGCUAAAAAUGUGGAAAAAGAGCGUAUGUGCGCUUCAUAGUCCACAGUUUAAAGAGGAUUGUCCUUGUUGUGUGCCCUACGGUGUACACCGCUUCCCCGGCCGUGCUGAGGAUGAAGACAUUCGCAAGAUGUGGAUUAAAAACGUACACCGAAAGGACUUUGCCCCCAAACAAGUAUUCAAGGGUGUGUGGAGUACACUUCCCUGACGGCAGACCAACGCAGGAACACCCAUAUCCCAUAAUAUGGGAUAUGAAUAUAGUAAAGCACCAUCAUGUGGAAGACCACCCCCUAAGAGGAGAUGUCUCCAGCCCCCAACAGAGAGACUUGGAUUAAUGUUGAGAGGAUUAUUGUUCAAUACGGUGUAGAAACACUUGGUUCAGUUAUAUGUAGAUAUCUAUCAUCUUUCAAGAAAUCCUUCAUCCCCUCAGCUGUGACCAUACUGAACAAGAGAUGAACUGUCCAGCUGCAGCAUGCAUGUAUUGUGUGGUCUUGUCUUUUUUUUUUUGGUCAAGCCUUGUCUAAUGUCUGUGAGAAUCACUGAAGCCACGCCAAAGACAAUUUUCUGUUUCAUGGGUGUAACACAGUGUUUCGCAACCUUUUUUUAGGCGAGGCACCCUUUCAGUUCAUGAAAAAUUUCAAGGCACCCCAAACCAACAAGCCAUAACAUGGCAUUGCAUCCCAUACCACACAAGCUUAGAAAAGUAGCACAUUUGGAGAGGUCACACGACCUACGUUCGAAGUUGCAGCUGACUAGGGCGACCUAUAUUUACUUUAUUGUGUGUAAAUGGCAAAUGAAAGAUUCCACUGACUAGCAUUAACUUAUGCAAUAUAAUACAUAUUUGUCUAAAUUGAUUAUUUAUUUAUCAGCCACGUUUCCGUGGCACCCUUGGGGGUGGCCCGCGGCACCCCAGGGUGCCCCGGCACCCCUGUUGAGAAACACUGGUGUAACAGACAAUAAAGUUGUAUCUAAUCUAAUCAUAUCAAUGAGAAUCACUGCACCUGACAAAGGUAUGACAUACUGUAUACUGUAGGCUUAAGUGCUGAAGAAAAAUGAAUUAACCUGGCGGUUUUGAAAUGUUUAUUUACACAGUUAUUAAAAUGCAUACAGAUAGUGCAUUUAAUAUAGUUCAAUACUGUGUGCUUACUUGAUGGUUUUUUAUAUGUGCUGAACUGAAAAACAACCUAGCUACUUGUGCCCAAUAUCCAACUGCAGCAUUGUAGUUGCAGGUGGGGGGUGAUGGUUGUUCAAAUUUGACACACACCUUACAUUGGUCCACUUUACAAAUGGCCCCAUACACUAAAUGACACUUGCUGGUGUGUUUUUUACUAGGCAACUUGUUAUUAAUCACUAAUGUUCUUAAUGUCAUUUCAAUGCAGCUCUUUGUGAGAAAUCUGGGCAGCCAUGGCCUAGUGCAGGGAUGUCAAACUCAGGCCCGGGGGCCAAAUCUGGCCCGCAGAGUCAUUUCAUUUGGCCCGCAAGAUCAUUUCAAAUGUGUAUUACAGUUGGCCCACAUACACCAUUAAUAUAUAGCAUAAUAAGACCUGAACAUAAAAUGUAAUAUGUCACAAAAAUAUGAGUGGGCAUAGGCCAGUAAAACAGCUCACACUACUGCAACAGAGUAUCUGCUGGCACAUUUGAACGACGAUGGGAAUCUGUUUGUGAAAUUUAAUGAGAUUAAGUGUGUUUGCACAAUUUUAGGCCGUUGUAAAUAUUGAGUUUGGCCCGCGACUUUGUUCCAGAUUUGUAUUUUGGCCCUCUGUGAGUUUGAGUUUGACACCCCUGGCCUAGUGGUUAGAGAGUUGGUCUUUCAAUCUAGGGGUUGCUGGUUCGAAUCCCCCACGACCUCUCCCUACACCUCCAUCCAUGGCUGAAGUGCCCUUGAGCAAGGCACCUAACCCCACAUUACUCCAGGGACUGUAACCAAUACCCUGAAAAAUAAUAGUUGUAAGUCGCUUUGAACAAAUGAAAGCGUCAGCUAAGUGAAAUGUAAUGUAAUGUAAUGUAAAAUCUUGCUGCAGUGUGUUGUGGAAUAGACACAGGAGCUGACCUGUGGUGUCCAGUCUUAACAGAGAGCUGGUGCCACUGUCACACAUUCAAUUUAAUUAAUCAUUAUCCCCCUUAUAUUGAUUGGGAAAUGUUAUACUGGCUUUUUUUUAUUACCUCCUGACUAUACCAGACAUCAUUUUUAUCAUUACCUCUGCCACAUAAUAUGUGAUUGUCUGAGUUUUGCAGUCUGUCUGUUUGUUCAUCGCUGGGUACACAGCUUGCCACUAAGGGGCGCCAAAUCCUUACUUAUUGCUGGAGACGCUACCACAAGGAGAGGACGGGAGGUGAUGUCUUCUAAAAGGGCUGUGGUUAAGUAGCCUAAGCAAUCAGCUGGUGCAACCCAGUCUUAACACUGCCUCAAAAUAUCAGUUCUUGAAAGGCACGAUUUACAUGGUGAAAUUAAUGACAUGUUGAGGCCAACAAGGCUUUAUUUUAUCAGUUAGAGGGACACUGUGCAGGAAAUGGUCAAAAAGGGUACUGCAACUAUGCUGCUCAUUGUAACUGGGUUGCCUAUUGCCAAAUUUGCUCUUUUCAUGAAAGUUUACUAAAUAAUAAACUCAGAUUUUCUGUUA